rnacentral:lncRNA from 1 species
UUGAACAACUGCUUGUCUUGGAGCUUGGUAUGCAUGGGAUCGGAUUCUUCAAACAAGUCUGGAAGGUAAAGCCUUGUGUAGAUAGAUUAAUCACCCUUUCUCUCUCUAUUUUUGAAAUAUAGAUUAAAAAUAUUAUUAUUAUAUAUAUCUAUUAGAGAUUUAUUAGGAAAGAAUUCGAACAUGACUUGGUGACUACAACCAUUAAGGCUUGCUUCAUAAGAAUUCUAUAAGUAAAGGAUUAGAACAGGACUUGGUGGCUACAACCAUUAAGGUUUGCUUCACAAAUAAUCCUAGGAUAUAGGUCAAAAAGAAGUGAACAGAACUUGGUGGAAACCAACAUUAAGACUUGAUUCAUGGAAGCCUGUCCAAUCUUAGUCAAUGAUCUUGCUAAUAUAAGCAGAUUUUGACUAAGAGAGAAAAUUAGUAGAGAGACAGGAUAGGAACUAGUGUUUACCUGAAGGUCCAGAUACUUGUUUGAAAGUCUUUGCAUUGUGUGAUCGAUACCCCCAAAGUAAAACCUACACUUUUAUUUAUGCUAAGAAAUGAGGUUGGUAGAUGGGAAUGUCAGACAAGAUUUGCUAAGUUGUUGGCUAGAUGAAUUUGGUUGCUAAGGUAGGAUAUGGUAUAAUGUGCUUUUGUGAUUAGGACUUCUUAGAUGUGGAUUGCAAUAUUGUAGACGUGAUGAUUCUAAGUUUUAAAUCAUGUGAGUCUCUGCUGUUUUAAAUCUCUUUUAGAGGGACUGCCUAUUUCUUUUGCUUGAGGACAAGCAAAAGGGUAAGUCUGGGGGAGUUGAUAGACUAUGGAUUUGACCCAUUUUCCUCCAUAGUUUAUAGGUGUUUUUACUAAUAAUUAUUAUAUUAUAGAGUCAAUUUAUUAUAUUUAUAAGAUCAGGAGUAAUUUGGAGAUAAGUGAUGCUUUUGGAGCAUUUUGGAGAUAUUUGGAGCAAGCACCUGAGAUGACCAUCGAGCUCGACCAUCGGUUGAUAUUGAAGAUGAAUAAUCGAUCGAUGUUCAUAUCUUGACAUCGACCGACAGCGAAGCGCGCAUAAAGCUCGUUUGGUCACAGCCGACUUGAAGCCCAAGUCUUCACCAGUUUACAAGAUUACCCCUGACGAGUUUAAACUUAAUUAUAUAAGCUUUGCCACCAAGUUAGAGGCAAAUUGUGCUUUCUUGUUUUAUUAUUUUCCCAGCAAGGUUUUUAGGAUCUUGAUAGAUUGGAGAGAAUAUCCAAAUUUAUAAUUUGUGAUUGGAACUCCAUUAAUAUCUAUUUACUAUUCUAAUGAAGUUUUCUUACCUAACUGAUUUUAUGAAUUGCUUAGCGAUGUCUGAGUAGUUCAAUUGUUAGAUUUUAGGGUUUAACUAGGUUAGGAGUGAUUAGCCCCAACUAUAGAUUGUUGAGUUGUGGUAAUUGUCAUUAGGAUUGUUCAUUAAUGCAUGUCUCUAGAUUAGCUACCUAUAACUUGCCCUAGGAUUGAUAGAUAAAAGCGAGAGCUUCAUUCUCAUCCUGAAAACAUUCUAACUGAGCUAAGUUUCUUGCUAUGAGUAAGGCGACAGCUGAUCUAGUGAGCUUAGUAAGCUAUUAUUCAACCCGCGCAUAAAGCUUAACAAGAAGCGCGUCGAUCGAUAUCAUUAUUGAAUAAUCGAUCGACGGAGUGAAAGGAUCGAUCGAUAUCCCUAUAGGAUCAUCGAUCGACACUUUCUAAUUGAUCGACAUACGAUAGUUGAGAUCAUUAGAUCUAGUUAAUAGACAAGUCCAAACAUGCGAAAGCUGAUAGACUUGUUGACUAAGUAGUUGAGCUUUAUAUUAUCAUGGAUGCAACUCAUUAGGCAUCUGAUAGGAUUAUAAUCCCAAAUUUCCUGAAUAAAAACCCUAAGUCUAGCUAUUUCCUUUUAAGCACCAAAACCUUAACCAAUCAAUUGCGCAAACACUUGCUUGAUAAAAACUGCAAUUUACAUUUACACCAUUAAACAUCAUGCUUAACAAAUCAUAUUAGAUUUCUUAGGUUCCCUAGCUUCUUGUGAAUUCGAUCCCUAAGUACUACAACUCGGCCUCUUAUUUGAAAGAGUAUAAAUCACUCCUUAGGGUAAUUUGAGUUGUAUCAGAAUGUGUUCUUUACUUCAAUCCAGCAUGUAAAGAUAUCCUUGUGGUAACUGCUUGAGCCAACUUGUGAGUACUUGAAGAGCUUGAAAAGAAGAUAGUCCUCAGGGACUCUAUUGCCUUUAAUGAUAGAAACCAAAUCCUCAAACCGCUGUAUAUGGUCCAUAGGAUGUUCAUGUUGGCGUAGUAUUGAUCUGGAGGGUUGUAGCCACCCAACAUUUUGGGUCGAGCAACUUGCACAUUAUCAUCACCCACAACCUGAGCAUCGACUGUAAUGGUAUCAACAUCAAGAUCAUGGAUUACAGCCCCAUGAUCAUCUAACCUCUGACAUGCUGCAUUACGCAGAUGACCCUCCUGGUCAUGUCUCCAUUCUCGUCUUGCAUCAGAACAAAAGUCGCAACCUUGUCUCGCGGACAGAUGUCGAUCGUCGGUGGCUCACAAGUGUCGGUCGACAGAUCUGAGUUGUUGUUGAUCGAUAUGGUGCGUCUCUCUUUUCGGAUCGUGCGUUCUAAGUGUGCGGGAUCUGAGAAUAGCAGCGAUUUUUCCUUGUUGCUUCUGGUACUGUUGGGCAUGCACCUGAAAGAAAUCAAGAAAAACAAUUAUGAGAAAAACCAGUAACAAUAAAACCUAGACUAAAUCUAACUAAUAAGAUCUAAUGGCGAUCGAAGCUCCCCGGCAACGACACCAAAUUUGACAUUACUCGAAUUACCCCAAAGAGUGACCUGUACUCUCUCAAAUAAGAGGUUCAAUCGUAGCACUUAGGGACCGAAUCCACAAGGAGCUAAGCCAAACAAUAGAUCCUCAUCUGUUUAUGAUUAAGUUAGGCAAACAGAGUAAUUAAUAAAGAGCAAAGGUGAACAAGGUAGUUGUACAGUUGAUUCAUUGAUUGGUUGAGGUUGUAAACAGUUAUGAGAAAUAUCUAAAUUUAGGGUUUCAGGAAAUCAUGAUUAUAGUGAUAUAGAUACUAAGGUUUUCAAUCCUAGAACUCGAAUUCUAUUUGCAAAGUAUUCCAGCUUCCUCUUGCGAAUAAAUCCUAUUGACUAAGUCCAGUAUCUUAGUUGUCGCUUGUUGAUAUGGUUCCAACGUCGAUUGAUUCUAUGAGAUUAGGGUCAAUCGAUGUUUACCUAGGCAAGCUUUAGCGAGCUGUUCGAUAGGUUCACUAGUAUUAACUAAAUCAGUCGUCGCUUGUUUCUAGAAAUCCUAGCUCAAGGAAAAUUAAUUCACGUAAAAGACCAUGCCGUCGAGUGCGCCUUAUUAUCCUAAGUUCACGGUUCUAGUUAGUUACUCUCAAACACAAGCAUUACAAGCAAUUCCUUGAAAGAAAUCUUUAUCACCUUAGUGUAUCUAUAUUUUGGACUAAUCCCUCAUAACCUUACUCUAAACCCUAAAUCUAACAAAGGUAACUACUCAUACACAGCAAAGCAGAACAUAGCAAAAUUUUGAAUAGAAUGCAUAAAUACAAUAAGGAAGAAAAACUGAAGUUCCAAUACAAAGCUCUGAGGGAGUCUUGGAUCUUCUCUCGAAACUACUAAAAACCCUAAAUAUGUUGAGAUGUGAAAAAAAAUUAAGUAUGAAAGCGUGUGUUGCCAAGAACAAUGGCAGAGCACAUAAAUAUUAGGUAAAGUCAGCCAAUGGUGUUUCUGUAAUUGAUGUGGAACUUGGACCAUAAGUCGGCUGGAAACCAAGUCGGGCCUUGCAUGCUUCGUCGAUCGAUAUUUGACUCUGAAUGUCGAUUUUAGACUAGUUCGAUGGACAGCUACAAGUUUCUUCUAACUUUAUCCCAAAAUGCCGGAAAAUUACCACAUAUCUCCAAAACAUUUUGGACCUGUAAAUACUCUAAAAAAACUCCAAAACAUAAUAAAUAACUCCUAAAACAUCUAUAUACCAUGGCUAAAAAAUGGUAAAAUCCAUGGUUUAUCAAGGGGGUCUCAUGUUCAAGUGUUAAAGCUGAAUAUAAGACCGUGAGGAAGCUCACAAAUUAGUUCACUUGGCUCAAGGAUCUUCUCAAGAACUUAGGCAUUGAGUCAGCAAACCUAAUCACAUUGGAUUGUUAUAAUAAGCAACCAUCCACAAUGCAUCUAAUUUGGUGUUCUAUGAGAAGAAAAACACAUUGAAGUGAAAAAUUAUAAGAGGCAGAUAUGGUUCAACAAAAAGUGGAUUUUGUUAUACAAGAAGUUCAUAUCAGCUAGCUGACAUCUUUACCGAGGAAACAAGUUCAAAGGUAUGUGAGAAAUAGAUCUAUCUCAUCCCGUAUCUUUUAAGCCAUAGAGCAUAUACUCUUUUUCCUUUAGUAUAGUUUUGUCCUAUGAGAUUUUCUGUACGUCAGUUUUUAAUGAGCUGAAUCUUCAUGGAUCCAUGUUUAACCUUUAUGUCUCUAUGGUUAAGUUUGAGCGGGAGGUUUAGACCUAUUAACAAAACAAAAAAAAACCUUGAAGAAACGAAGAUUAACCGUUCAUGUCCAUACACGAGUAUGUUUUGGUCCACAAAAAUGUUUCGCCAGUUUCUAUGUGUUGACUAUAAGUGUCCUAGUCUUCUAAAAGGACUCCUAGCUGUUGAAAAGAAGAAAGAGCUGUUCGUGACUAAGACAACAAGAGUCACAUAUCUCCCUAAUGAUUUAAAUUCUAGGGAAGACAAUUAGGACAUGCCACUCAAACCCAUUUGUCCUUUAAAUAGCAUGUAACCAGAAAUCUAUUUGAAUUAAGGAAAUAUUAUCCUCUCUUCUAAUAUUUCUCUUAGUCUCUCACAUGUCUACUCUCUCUUCUCUCUUGACAGGUUUCUUCCUUCACCUAUGUUCUCCAUUCUUCUUCACUAUGAUCCGCAAAUUUUAACAACAGGGACUAUAGUGGACUGUUAUGGCCGACCUUCUUGAUGAAUAGAACGAUUUUUAUGAGCAAUUUGGAACAUUU